AUUGAACGCUGGCGGCAGGCCUAACACAUGCAAGUCGAGCGGAGCGGCGGACGGGUGAGUAAUGCCUAGGAAUCUGCCUGGUAGUGGGGGAUAAAGUCCGGAAACGGGCGCUAAUACCGCAUACUAUCAGACGAGCCUAGGGCGGUUUAGCUAGUUGGUGGGGUAAAGGCCUACCAAGGCGACGAGCCGUAACUGGUCUGAGAGGAUGAUCAGUCACACUGGAACUGAGACACGGUCCAGACUCCUACGGGAGGCAGCAGUGGGGAAUAGUGGACAAUGGGCGAAAGCCUGAUCCAGCCAUGCCGCGUGUGUGAAGAAGGUCUUCGGAUUGUAAAGUACUUUCAGCGGGGAGGCGUUACCCGCAGAAGAAGCACCGGCUAACUCCGUGCCAGCAGCCGCGGUAAUAC
rnacentral:rRNA from 1 species